UAGGGAAUCUUCGGCAAUGGACGAAAGUCUGACCGAGCAACGCCGCGUGAGUGAAGAAGGUUUUCGGAUCGUAAAACUCUGUUGUUAGAGAAGAACAAGGACGUUAGUAACUGAACGUCCCCUGACGGUAUCUAACCAGAAAGCCACGGCUAACUACGUGCCAGCAGCCGCGGUACUACGUAGGUGGCAAGCGUUGUCCGGAUUUAUUGGGCGUAAAGCGAGCGCAGGCGGUUUCUUAAGUCUGAUGUGAAAGCCCCCGGCUCAACCGGGGAGGGUGAUUGGAGACUGGGAGAGUUGAGUGCAGAAGAGGAGAGUGGAAUUCCAUGUGUAGAGGUGAAAUGAGUAGGUAUAGGGAGGAACACGAGUGGCGAAGGCGGCGCUCUGGUCUGUAACUGACGCUGAGGCUGGAAAGCGUGGGGAGAAAACAGG
rnacentral:rRNA from 1 species